rnacentral:rRNA from 1 species
AUUGAACGCUGGCGGAAUGCUUUACACAUGCAAGUCGAACGAUGAACCUUAGCUUGCUGAGGGGAUUAGUGGCGAACGGGUGAGUAAUAUAUCGGAACGUACCUUGUAAUGAGGGAUAACUAGUCGAAAGAUUAGCUAAUACCGCAUACGCCCUGAGGGGGAAAGUAGGGGAUCUUCGGACCUUACGUUAUAAGAGCGGCCGAUAUCUGAUUAGCUAGUUGGUGGGGUAAUGGCCUACCAAGGCAACAAUCAGUAGCUGGUCUGAGAGGACGACCAGCCACACUGGAACUGAGACACGGUCCAGACUCCUACGGGAGGCAGCAGUGGGGAAUUUUGGACAAUGGGCGCAAGCCUGAUCCAGCCAUUCCGCGUGAGUGAAGAAGGCCUUCGGGUUGUAAAGCUCUUUCGCAAGGGAAGAAAACUUACAUUCUAAUAAAGUGUGAGGCUGACGGUACCUUGAUAAGAAGCACCGGCUAACUACGUGCCAGCAGCCGCAGUAA